rnacentral:lncRNA from 1 species
GGGGGCGGGGCUUUUGGGGGCUGGGUAGAGAGAAAGGGGGCAGAUGACAACUCUACGAAGAACAACAAAAACAACAACUAAAAUAGAACCAAUCCAAAGGAAGGGAAAACAAGGCAGCAGCCCAUCCUGGAGCAGGUGGCGAUGCUUUGCAUGGGGCUGGCACUGCGAGUGGCUUGUGGUAUGUCAGCGUGCUGCUAGGUUUUGAGUGGGAUUUGUGAGCGCAUCUGUGGGCGAUGGAUCCAUCUUUGUAGGGAGUGUGCAGAAGCAUGAGUGUGGACCUGGAUCUGUGGGUUCUGUGCUUGGAGGAGUGCGUUUUUGUGAGAAUCUCUGUCGUCUGCAUUUGUGUGUAUUUUGAAUUUGAACAUGAAGUGAGACAGUCUUGUCUGCCAUUGCCGGUGUCGACUCUGUACCUGUUUGCAUGAACUUGAGAGAGACAUGAAAACGUUUUGGACACAAGUGUAACAAAGCUGUUUGGAACAUGGAUCUCUACUUUCCACAAACCCAGACAGAGGUUUAUCUUAACAAAUCAUGACAGCAUUAAAAGUACAAAGUAAUCAGCAGAAUAGUAAUAUUUCCUGAAUGACAACUGGAAGCUAAACAUGCCCCAAUAUCUGUGUGAAACGGAUACUAAUUCGUUAGCUUUGUCUUAUAGCAGAUGAAAUUGAAGAUAGAUAGAUUAUUUGCACAACUUCCUCCUCUCAUCAAGUGGUCUGGUCAGCAUUUGAAUCUAGACUUAGCCUCUUUAUUGUACUGACCUUCCUGGCUGCCGAGAUAUGUAGUUUUCUAUUGAGGGGGGAGGGAAGGCUCUGUAAGACAUGGGGUGUUUAUUUGUUGUUGGUUGUUGUUUUUGAGAUGUCAUCUGGGGAGUUCCCUUCGUGAUGCAGCGGAAAUGAAUCUGACUAGUAUCUGUGAGGUUGCAGGCUCGAUCCCUGGCCUCGCUCAGUGGGGUUAAGGAUCUGGCAUUGCCAGCAAGCUGUGGUGUAGGUAGCAGACAGGGUUUCGAUCCCACGUUGCUGUGGCUGUGGCUCUGAUUAGACCCCUGGUCUGGGAACUUCCAUAUGCCACAGGUGUGGCCCUAAAAAACCAAAACAAAACAAAACAAAACACCCAUAAGAUUAAAACAAAUUAGAAUGAAGAGAUAAGUAAGAUGUGGUCUUUCCACACAGUGGAAACUAUUCGUCUUAAAAAGGGAAGAGGAUUCUGUACUAGAACAUGGAUGCAACUUGAGGACAUUAUACUAAGUGAAAUAAGCCAGUCACAAAAAGACAGGCACAUUACAAUUAAUAUAUACAUUAUCGUUAUGUAUACAAUACAUAUAAGUAUGAGGUGCUUAGAGUAGUCAAAAUUGCAGCAACAGAAAGUAAAAUGGGGGGAGUUCCCAUCAUGGCGCAACAGAAACAAAUCCAACUAGGAACCAUGAGGUUGCAGAUUCAAUCCUUGGACUCGCUGAGUGGGUUAAGGAUAUGGCAUUGCCAUGAGCUGUGGUGUAGGUCACAGAUGUGGCUCGGAUCUGGUGUUGUGUGGCUGUGGCGUGGGCUGGGAGCUGCAGCUCUGAUAGAACCCCUAGCCUGGGAACCUCCAUAUGCAGCAGUGUGGCCCUAAAAAGCCAAAAAAUAAAUAAAUAAAUAAACCACACACACACACAAAGAAAAGAAAGAAAAAUAGUGGGUGCCAGGAGAUGGGAGAGGGGAGAAUGGGGAGUUAUUGUUUAAUGGGUAUAGAUUUGCAGUUUUACAAGAUGAAAAGAGUUAUGAGGAUGGAUGGGGGUGAUGGAUGCACCAAAAUGGGACUGCAUUUAAUACUGCUGAUCUAUACACUUAAAACUGGUUGAACUGGUGAGAGAAAAAAAAAAAGGUUCUGUGUUCAACUGAAAAGACUCAGAACAGAUAAAACCUUAGUGAAGUAGGAAAAAAGAAAACACUAAUGAUAAGCGAGUAAAUGAAGGAAAUAGAAAACCCAAAGAGCAGUAGAGAAGAUGAAGAAACCAAAAGCUGAUUCCUUUGGAGGGAAAGGCUGAUAAGAAGGUGAACCUUCCAAGACACAUCAAAAUAAUAACUCAUGAGUAAUAUUAAGAAUGACAAGAGAGACAUUAUAACAAAUAUAGGAAGAUCUGUUAAAACAGUGGAAAUGGAUAAUUCUCUUUAAAAAGCAAACCAUCGUAAUGUAUCUAAGAAAUAAAAAAGCAGAUCAAUAACCAUUACAAAAACCUAAUUGUUCAUAUAGAAAUUUGUUUUUAUCCUCAGUCCCACAAAGGCAGCAAGCCCAAAUAGUUUUGUAGGUGAGUUUUAACAAAUAACAGACAAUCCUUAUUUUAUAAAAAUUGUUUCAGAGCUCCUUUUAUGAGGAUAGUAGAAUGUUGAUAGCAAAACCAGAUUAAAAUGGUACAGUAAAAAAAAGCUAAAGUGAGCUCACCUAUGAACACGGGUACAAAAAAUCUAAAUAAAAAUACAUCAUGAACAAAUAGGGUUUGGGCCAUUAUUCCCAAAAUGGAGUAAUGGCCCAAUAUCAGAAAACCUAUUUAUAUAAUAUAUCAUAGUAACAGAUCAAAGGAGAAAGUUGUUUGAUUAUAUCAAUGAAUACAGAAAAAGCAUUUGAAAAAAUUAGGAGUUACAUAUGUCUAUUCUUUUCUUAGCAAAGAAGACUAUUUUUUUUAACUUUCUAGAAAAUAACUAUCAAAAAGCAACAGCAAACAUCAUGUUUACUGUUGAACUUUUAGUAGCAUCCCCAUUAAGGUCAGGAAAAAAACAAGGCAGCUGCAGCUCUGAUUCAACCCCUAGCCUGGGAACUUCCAUAUGCCACAUGUGCAGCCCUAAAAAGCAAAAAAAUAAAAAAAUAAAUGCAAGAAAAUCCCCAAAUAAGGUAUUAAGAAUAGUCAUAUUUCUAUAAUUAUUAAUAAAAUCUAAAAUAUAAUCAUAAU